rnacentral:lncRNA from 1 species
AAUUAAUCUGUGAGAAAGGGAUUAUUGCUAGAAUCAGAGUAAAUGUGUGUGGCUUCCAACAGUUUGAGAUAACUGGACAUCACUGAUGACUCUUUAAACUUAAGACAAAGGAAAGAACCUAUAUGACCUGAUCUCUGUUCAAUCCUCUUUAAAUAAACAUGAAAAUACCUUCUUGGGUUCUAAGUAUCUUGGUAAGGAUUCCCAGCAUUAUAAGUUUUUAUUUUUACAAUGAUUCAUUUAAUCCUCCUUUUAAAACAAGUGUUUUAC